rnacentral:rRNA from 1 species
AGAGUUUGAUCCUGGCUCAGGAUGAACGCUAGCGGCAGGCUUAACACAUGCAAGUCGAGGGGCAGCGGGGAGGAAGCUUGCUUUCUCCGCCGGCGACCGGCGCACGGGGUGAGUAACACGUAUGCAACCUGCCCCUGUCAGGGGGACAACCCGCCGAAAGGCGGGCUAAACCCGCGUACAUGCCACCGGGGCAUCCCGGAGGCAGGAAAGGCUUCGGCCGGACAGGGAUGGGCAUGCGGCGCAUUAGGCAGUAGGCGGGGUAACGGCCCACCUAACCGACGAUGCGUAGGGGUUCUGAGAGGAAGGUCCCCCACACUGGUACUGAGACACGGACCAGACUCCUACGGGAGGCAGCAGUGAGGAAUAUUGGUCAAUGGUCGGGAGACUGAACCAGCCAAGCCGCGUGAGGGAUGAAGGUACAGAGUAUCGUAAACCUCUUUUGUCAGGGAACAAAGGCGGGGACGCGUCCCCGGAUGAGUGUACCUGAAGAAAAAGCAUCGGCUAACUCCGUGCCAGCAGCCGCGGUAAUACGGAGGAUGCGAGCGUUAUCCGGAUUUAUUGGGUUUAAAGGGUGCGCAGGCGGUCCGUUAAGUCAGCGGUCAAAGCCCGGGGCUCAACCCCGGCCCGCCGUUGAAACUGGCAGUCUCGAGUUGGAGAGAAGUAUGCGGAAUGCGCGGUGUAGCGGUGAAAUGCAUAGAUAUCGCGCAGAACUCCGAUUGCGAAGGCAGCAUGCCGGCUCCACACUGACGCUGAGGCACGAAAGCGUGGGUAUCGAACAGGAUUAGAUACCCUGGUAGUCCACGCAGUAAACGAUGAAUGCUGGCUGUCCGGGGGGACUGGCCCCUGGGUGGCGAAGCGAAAGCGAUAAGCAUUCCACCUGGGGAGUACGCCGGCAACGGUGAAACUCAAAGGAAUUGACGGGGGCCCGCACAAGCGGAGGAACAUGUGGUUUAAUUCGAUGAUACGCGAGGAACCUUACCCGGGCUCAAACGGGGAGUGACUCAGGCAGAGACGCCUGUUUCCCACGGGACACUCCCCGAGGUGCUGCAUGGUUGUCGUCAGCUCGUGCCGUGAGGUGUCGGCUUAAGUGCCAUAACGAGCGCAACCCCCGCGUGCAGUUGCUAACAGAUAACGCUGAGGACUCUGCACGGACUGCCGGCGCAAGCCGCGAGGAAGGCGGGGAUGACGUCAAAUCAGCACGGCCCUUACGUCCGGGGCGACACACGUGUUACAAUGGGUGGUACAGCGGGAAGCCAGGCGGCGACGCCGAGCGGAACCCGAAAUCCACUCUCAGUUCGGAUCGGAGUCUGCAACCCGACUCCGUGAAGCUGGAUUCGCUAGUAAUCGCGCAUCAGCCAUGGCGCGGUGAAUACAAUCCCGGGCCUUGCACUCACCGCCCGUCA